rnacentral:rRNA from 1 species
AGCUCCAAUAGCGUAUAUUAAUGUUGCUGCAGUUAAAAAGCUCGUAGUUGGAUUUCUGACUUGGUGCACCUGGCCCGCCACGGUUACGUGUGUGAGUGCCGGGAUGCGCCUGUCACUUUUCUAGUAAACUAUUAUGCUCUUCAUUGAGUGUGAUAGGUAGCUAGAUAUUUUACUUUGAAAAAAUUAGAGUGUUUAGAGCAGGCGUUUGCUAUGAAUACAUUAGCAUGGAAUAAUAAGUUAGGACUUCGGUUCUAUUUUGUUGGUUUCUAGGACUGAAGUAAUGAUUGAUAGGGAUAGUUGGGGGUGCUAGUAUCCAGCGGCCAGAGGUGAAAUUCUCGGAUUCGCUGAAGACUAACUUAUGUGAAAGCAUUCACCAAGGAUGUCUUCU